UGCAAGUCGAACGAUGANAGGAGCUUGCUUCUUGGAUUAGUGGCGAACGGGUGAGUAACACGUGAGUAACCUGCCCUUGACUCUGGGAUAAGCGUUGGAAACGACGUCUAAUACCGGAUACGACAACCGAUCGCAUGGUCUGGUUGUGGAAAGAUUUUUUGGUCAAGGAUGGACUCGCGGCCUAUCAGGUUGUUGGUGAGGUAAUGGCUCACCAAGCCUACGACGGGUAGCCGGCCUGAGAGGGUGACCGGCCACACUGGGACUGAGACACGGCCCAGACUCCUACGGGAGGCAGCAGUGGGGAAUAUUGCACAAUGGGCGAAAGCCUGAUGCAGCAACGCCGCGUGAGGGAUGACGGCCUUCGGGUUGUAAACCUCUUUUAGUAAGGAAGAAGAACUUCGGUUUGACGGUACUUGCAGAAAAAGCACCGGCUAACUACGUGCCAGCAGCCGCGGUAAUACGUAGGGUGCAAGCGUUGUCCGGAAUUAUUGGGCGUAAAGAGCUCGUAGGCGGUUUGUCGCGUCUGCUGUGAAAUCUGGAGGCUCAACCUCCAGCCUGCAGUGGGUACGGGCAGACUAGAGUGCGGUAGGGGAGAUUGGAAUUCCUGGUGUAGCGGUGGAAUGCGCAGAUAUCAGGAGGAACACCGAUGGCGAAGGCAGAUCUCUGGGCCGUAACUGACGCUGAGGAGCGAAAGCAUGGGGAGCGAACAGGAUUAGAUACCCUGGUAGUCCAUGCCGUAAACGUUGGGAACUAGAUGUAGGGGCCAUUCCACGGUUUCUGUGUCGCAGCUAACGCAUUAAGUUCCCCGCCUGGGGAGUACGGCCGCAAGGCUAAAACUCAAAGGAAUUGACGGGGGCCCGCACAAGCGGCGGAGCAUGCGGAUUAAUUCGAUGCAACGCGAAGAACCUUACCAAGGCUUGACAUAUACCGGAAACCUGCAGAAAUGUGGGCCCCGCAAGGUCGGUAUACAGGUGGUGCAUGGU
rnacentral:rRNA from 1 species